ensembl:lncRNA LINC01198 long intergenic non-protein coding RNA 1198
GGGGGGCACCUGCCCCCCUGCGAUGUGGAUGGUCAUAUACAGGGGGCCAUAGGGUGGUGAUAUUACUCCCGGAUUUUUCCUAGGGUCCUUUCUAUACUGCCACCCUCGGUUCACACCCUGGAACAUUAUCUUCCAUAUUCUAGCAAGAUGCGGCUUCUAACGUCGCAGGGGGAAUGGAACAGAUAAGAAGAUACUGAAAUUGGACGGUGCUGCCGUGCGGCUGCCGCAGGACACCUUUAAUAUCCCUGUUUCUCAGGCUGUAGAUGAAGGGGUUCAGCAUGGAGGUGAUCACCGUGUACAUCACUGAGGCCACUGCAGCCUUUCUCGGGGAAGAUGACACAUCUGAACUGAGGUACCCUCCAAAGCCUGUUCCGUAAAAUCAGCAAACAACUGACAGGAUAACUUCAGGAAGUGGGUAUUAAUUCUCACGGUAUAAGUGAAGACAUUAAGCACCAGAGUUUAAGUAGCUUGAUCCACUGAAAGAGAUUCAACUGUGUGGAACCUAUGCCGUGGAGAAUUGCUUUCUGCCAUUGUUAUCGUCCAGCAGUUGCCGAAUAGCUCUGACCUGAGCAAAGCAGUGAAACGCGGUGCUGUUGAGUGGGUUGCCACUGCACCUUUUUCAACUACUCUAGUCUUGUGGAGAAAAUACCCCUUCUAAAUUUUUUCUUCAUUGAAUACUCUCCCUCAGCUCCAGAGUACCAUAUAGAGUUUUCUUGUAUUUUAGAGUUACUGUUUUAUCAAAGUUUACCAGUCUUUUGUAUUACAUUUCUCCUGUCUAAAUCGACUGUGUGGUUUCUACUCAUUAUGGAUAUAGAUUGAUACAAACUCAAUAAAUAUUUUUGAAUGAAUAA